UUUAUCAGAUGAUGAUAAAAAAAUAUAAUCUUAGGACACCUUCUUACACGGCUACAAAGUUGUGGAUGAGAAAGUGAAUUCUGAUGAUGAU
rnacentral:snoRNA from 1 species